GUCAGGGUGUCCCCGGCGCUGAUUGGGCGGCGGCGCUGUCAAUCACGCGGGUGACGCGGCCGGGCCGGAGCGCGGCGGAGCCGAGCCCCGCCAUGUCCUGAGGAUGUUCCGGCUGGACGAGACCCCCGAGGAGCCCGGCUCCCCUCCCCCCUCGCCCUGGGGGGGCUCCCCCGCCCCCAGCCAGCCCGGGACCCCUUCCCCAGAGGCGCGCUCCCGGCUGGGCUCGGAGCGGGGCGCGGCACCGGGG